GGCUCCAUAGCUCAGUGGUUAGAGCGCUGGUCUUGUAAACCAGAGGUCGCAAGUUUGAUCCUUGCUUUGAUCCU